rnacentral:rRNA from 1 species
AACGAACGCUGGCGGCAGGCCUAACACAUGCAAGUCGAGCGAAGCCUUCGGGCUUAGCGGCGGACGGGUGAGUAACGCGUGGGAACGUGCCCUUUGGUACGGAAUAGCCCCGGGAAACUGGGAGUAAUACCGUAUGUGGUCGAGAGACGAAAGAUUUAUCGCCAAAGGAUCGGCCCGCGUUGGAUUAGGUAGUUGGUGGGGUAAUGGCCUACCAAGCCGACGAUCCAUAGCUGGUUUGAGAGGAUGAUCAGCCACACUGGGACUGAGACACGGCCCAGACUCCUACGGGAGGCAGCAGUGGGGAAUCUUAGACAAUGGGGGAAACCCUGAUCUAGCCAUGCCGCGUGAUCGAUGAAGGCCUUAGGGUUGUAAAGCUCUUUCAGGUGGGAAGAUAAUGACUGUACCACCAGAAGAAGCCCCGGCUAACUACGUGCCAGCCGCCGCUGAAAAAC